GGGUUCGAUUCUGGCUCAGGAUGAACGCUAGCGGCAGGCUUAACACAUGCAAGUCGAGGGGCAGCGUGGAGUAGCAAUACUCUGACGGCGACCGGCGAAAGGGUGAGUAACGCGUGAGCAACAUGCCCGGUAGUGGAGGAUAGUCGAUGGAAACGUCGUGUAAUACUCCGUAACAACAGAGACCGCAUGAUCUUUGUUUAAUAGAUUUAUUGCUAUCGGAUUGGCUCGCGUACCAUUAGCUAGUUGGCGGGGUAACGGCCCACCAAGGCGACGAUGGUUAGGGGUUCUGAGAGGAAGGUCCCCCACAUUGGAACUGAGACACGGUCCAGACUCCUACGGGAGGCAGCAGUGAGGAAUAUUGGACAAUGGCCGGAAGGCUGAUCCAGCCAUGCCGCGUGCGGGAAAGACGGCCCUAUGGGUUGUAAACCGCUUUUGUUGGGGAGCAAUAAGGUCCACGUGUGGAUCGAUGAGAGUACCCAGCGAAUAAGCAUCGGCUAACUCCGUGCCAGCAGCAGC
rnacentral:rRNA from 1 species